GAUGAACGCUGGCGGCGUGCCUAAUACAUGCAAGUCGAGCGAACAGACGAGGAGCUUGCUCCUCUGACGUUAGCGGCGGACGGGAGAGUAACACGUGGAUAACCUACCUAUAAGACUGGGAUAACUUCGGGAAACCGGAGCUAAUACCGGAUAAUAUAUUGAACCGCAUGGUUCAAUAGUGAAAGACGGUUUUGCUGUCACUUAUAGAUGGAUCCGCGCCGCAUUAGCUAGUUGGUAAGGUAAAGGCUUACCAAGGGAACGAGGGGUAGCCGACCUGAGAGGGUGAUCGCCCACACUGGAACUGGGACACGGUCCAGACUCCUACGGGAGGCAGCAGUAGGGAAUCUUCCGCAAUGGGCGAAAGCCUGACGGAGCAACGCCGCGUGAGUGAUGAAGGUCUUCGGAUCGUAAAACUCUGUUAUUAGGGAAGAACAAAUGUGUAAGUAACUAUGCACGUCUUGACGGUACCUAAUCAGAAAGCCACGGCUAACUACGUG
rnacentral:rRNA from 1 species